CGAAGUGGUUUGAGCUAGAUAUAACUGUAUUAUUAGUAUUUUGUGUAUGGUGUGGCAAAACGAUAUCAAAAGUUAUGUGUAGGGGUGAUAGGCCUAUCAAAAACCAAGAUAACUUGAUUCUAAUGAAAGGUAUUUAGUACAAUAUUAUACAUUUAUUAAGUGGUGAGGCUUAAUAAUAAUAUAAAGAUAUGUUAAUGGGUGUAUAUUAAUUUAUAAUAAAAAAAUAUAUAAUUAUAAUAUUAUUUCACUUUAAUUGUUUAUAGAUAUUAAUUGGAUGUAGCUAAACUUUGUAUGUUUUAAUAAUGUUAGUAUUAGUAUAUUGGUGCUGGGUUUAUUUGAGAACUCGGCAAAACUGUUCUCAACUGUUUAUCAAAAACAUAACUGUGUGGGCCUAUACAUAGCUUUUUCUGCUCAAUGAUUUUAUUAAAUAGCCGCAGUA
rnacentral:rRNA from 1 species